rnacentral:rRNA from 1 species
ACUGCUCAGUAACACGUGGAUAACCCGCCCUGCGGUGGGAAAUAACCCCGGGAAACUGGGGAUAAUGUCCCAUAGACUACGGAUACUGGAAUGUUCUGUAGUUCAAAGAUUUAUCGCCACAGGAUGGGUCUGCGGCCGAUUAGGUAGUUGUUGGGGUAACGGCCCAACAAGCCUUUGAUCGGUACGGGUUGUGGGAGCAAGAGCCCGGGGAUGGAUUCUGAGACACGAAUCCAGGCCCUACGGGGCGCAGCAGGCGCGAAAACUUUACAAUGCGGGAAACCGUGAUAAGGGAACUCCGAGUGUCCGUAAAUGCGGACUGUCCGUAUGUUUAAAAAGCAUGCGAAGAAAGGGCCGGGCAAGACCGGUGCCAGCCGCCGCGGUAAUACCGGCGGCUCGAGUGGUGGCCACUAUUACUGGGCUUAAAGCGUUCGUAGCUGGGUUGUUAAGUCUCUUGGGAAAUCUAUCGGCUUAACCGAUAGGCGUCCAAGGGAUACUGGCAAUCUAGGGACCGGGAGAGGUGAGGGGUACUUCAGGGGUAGGAGUGAAAUCCUGUAAUCCUUGGGGGACCACCUGUGGCGUAGGCGCCUCACCAGAACGGCUCCGACAGUGAGGGACGAAAGCUGGGGGAGCAAACCGGAUUAGAUACCCGGGUAGUCCCAGCCGUAAACGAUGCGCGUUAGGUGUAUCGAUGACCACGAGUCAUCGAGGUGCCGAAGGGAAACCGUGAAACGCGCCGCCUGGGAAGUACGGUCGCAAGGCUGAAACUUAAAGGAAUUGGCGGGGGAGCAC